GAUGAACGAUGGCGGCGUGCCUAAUACAUGCCAGUCGAGCGAACGGACGAGAAGCUUGCUUCUCUGAUGUUAGCGGCGGACGGGUGAGUAACACGUGGAUAACCUACCUAUAAGACUGGGAUAACUUCGGGAAACCGGAGCUAAUACCGGAUGAUAUUUUGAACCGCAUGGUUCAAAAGUGAAAGACGGUCUUGCUGUCACUUAUAGAUGGAUCCGCGCUGCAUUAGCUAGUUGGUAAGGUAACGGCUUACCAAGGCAACGAUGCAUAGCCGACCUGAGAGGGUGAUCGGCCACACUGGAACUGAGACACGGUCCAGACUCCUACGGGAGGCAGCAGUAGGGAAUCUUCCGCAAUGGGCGAAAGCCUGACGGAGCAACGCCGCGUGAGUGAUGAAGGUCUUCGGAUCGUAAAACUCUGUUAUUAGGGAAGAACAUAUGUGUAAGUAACUGUGCACAUCUUGACGGUACCUAAUCAGAAAGCCACGGCUAACUACGUG
rnacentral:rRNA from 1 species